GUAGCCGCCCCUUCUCUCUCCGACGAGUCGCCCAACCUCUGGGUGCUGAUUGGCUGUGCACAGGUGAGUGACAAGCCAGGAAGUACCGCGGGGGGAGAUGCUGGCUCUGCAGGAAAAACCAAUGCAGGGUUCAAGGAGAGGGGUCUUGGGGAUUUUGUGGGUGGGAGGGCUCGAGGACUCAGAGACCGAACCUGACCCCAGUACCACCCCAAAACGGGCAACACCUUCCAGAAUAGCCUUCGAAGCGACCCGAUCCCCUCUCGGCUACAAGUGAAUCUGGGACCUAGACGCCGCGACGGGGCCUUGGUCUCGGUGCCUUUCUGGUCCCACAAUCCGAGCGAGCUUCCUGGCCCUCAAAGGGGACUUGUUUUGUGUCUGUUUCGCAAUGGAGCCAUUGGCCUGAUUUUAAUAAAUAUCCCGCCCACUGCACCAACCUUUCCUGAAAGCCAUCCUUGAUCGGAAUGUUGCCACCCCAAUUCAACCAUUUUCAAAACUUCAUAUUCUACACACAAAAUCCUAAGAACUCUUCCGAGGCUUCCAGCCCUAAGGACUUCCCCAACAUCGUCCACCACUACGACCCUUUGAAAGCAAGUGCGUUAUACAGACGAUUAAAGGUGAAAUGAAGCCAUUCUCAAAUGAAGGAACAAUAAGAGAAUUCAUCGCCAGAAUUGCUAAUGGAUGUUCUUCAGGUAGAAAGGAAAUGAUACUAGAAGAAAUGAAGGAAAAGCAACAGAAAUGGGUUCCCAGGGCACCCAAGAAAGCACGUCAUGGGAGCAGCUCUGCCAACCCUAUGCCAUGACAAAUGACUUUCUGUACUGACUGAGGGCCAGGGGCUGGCGUACGGACAAGGAAGCGCUCCCAGUACAAGGAGUUGAUUUACGGAGGAAGGAAUGAAGCUCUACAAGAAAGUUGAGCAACAAAGAGCUUCGCCUGUCUUCCACAGCCUCUCCCAUAGCCAUCUACUUUGUUUUUGAUUCAGGGAUCCUGGGAACCAGAAUUGAGAUGCUGUUGGUUUUGCUCCAGUCUGUCCUCCAGCCACUGUAGGAGAGGCCCGCUGACUGCUGACAUUUGACUGCACAGAUUCUUGGUAAACACUUCAACAGGAAGAACACGGAUGAGAUAACACUCCACCACCA